AGGGGGAAAGCUGGGGAUCGUAAGACCUAGCGUUGAUGGAGCGGCCGAUAUCUGAUUAGCUAGUUGGUGGGGUAAAGGCCUACCAAGGCGACGAUCAGUAGCUGGUCUGAGAGGACGACCAGCCACACUGGAACUGAGACACGGUCCAGACUCCUACGGGAGGCAGCAGUGGGGAAUUUUGGACAAUGGGGGCAACCCUGAUCCAUCAAGGCCGCGUGAGUGAAGAAGCCCUUCGGGUUGAACUUGAAAGGGCAAGGGAAGAAAACUCAAUCUCUAACAUAGAUUGAGG
rnacentral:rRNA from 1 species